AUUGAACGCUGGCGGCAGGCCUAACACAUGCAAGUCGAACGAGCGGCGGACGGGUGAGUAAUGUAUGGGGACUGCCCGAUCGACGGGGAUAACUACUGGACACGGUAGCUAAGACCGCAUACUAUCGGAUAACCCAUAUGGGAUGAGCGAGUCGGUUAGGUAAUGGCUUACCUAGGCGACGAGCCCUAGCUGGUCUGAGAGGAUGAUCAGCCACACUGGGACUGAGACACGGCCCGUACUCCUACGGAGGCAGCAGUGGGGAAUAUUGCACAAUGGGCGCAAGCCUGAUGCAGCCAUGCCGCGUGUAUGAAGAAGGCCCUAGGGUUGUAAAGUACUUUCAGUCGGGAGGCGUUACCGACAGAAGAAGCACCGGCUAACUCCGUGCCAGCAGCCGCGGUAAUAC
rnacentral:rRNA from 1 species